ACCGUUUUGAAAUCGUCGAAGAAGAAAACAUAUUAGAUACAGGUAUAAUAAUAUAUAAAAUCAUACAAUAUGCACAAAGUGAUACUUGAAAAAACAAGAAAUAUUAUUAUUAUGUUUAAAACGAUGGCAGACAUGUUAUCUUUUCUAUACAUAUAUAUUACAAGACAACUUUUUAAUCGGUUUACGAAAGUUUUACAACGG